UCUGGAAACUNUCUGACUUGAGUGCAGAAGGGGAGAGUGGAAUUCCAUGUGUAGCGGUGAAAUGCGUAGAUAUAUGGAGGAACACCAGUGGCGAAAGCGGCUCUCUGGUCUGUCACUGACGCUGAGGCUCGAAAGCGUGGGUAGCGAACAGGAUUAGAUACCCUGGUAGUCCACGCCGUAAACGAUGAGUGCUAGGUGUUAGGCCCUUUCCGGGGCUUAGUGCCGGAGCUAACGCAAUAAGCACUCCGCCUGGGGAGUACGACCGCAAGGUUGAAACUCAAAGGAAUUGACGGGGGCCCGCACAAGCGGUGGAGCAUGUGGUUUAGUUCGAAGCAACGCGAAGAACCUUACCAGGUCUUGACAUCCCGAUGCUAUUCUUAGAGAUAGGAAGUUACUUCGGUACAUCGGAGACAGGUGGUGCAUGGUUGUCGUCAGCUCGUGUCGUGAGAUGUUGGGUUAAGUCCCGCAACGAGCGCAACCCUUAUUGUUAGUUGCCAUCAUUAAGUUGGGCACUCUAGCGAGACUGCCGGUAAUAAACCGGAGGAAGGUGGGGAUGACGUCAAAUCAUCAUGCCCCUUAUGACCUGGGCUACACACGUGCUACAAUGGUCGGUACAACGAGUUGCGAGCCGGUGACGGCAAGCUAAUCUCUGAAAGCCGAUCUCAGUUCGGAUUGGAGGCUGCAACUCGCCUCCAUGAAGUCGGAAUCGCUAGUAAUCGCGGAUCAGCACGCCGCGGUGAAUACGUUCCCGGGCCUUGUACACACCGCCCGUCACACCACGAGAGUUUGUAACACCCGAAGUC
rnacentral:rRNA from 1 species